GUGAAAGCGUCUGUAGUUUUAUUUCUUUUGUGAGUGUUUUAGGCGAUGUUAUUAAUAGUAUGUAAUCAAAUGACCAGAUAGAAGUAUGUGAGUAAUUAUAUAGCACACAAGUAAUAUAAUCAACAUUAAUUAUAUACUUCCGAAGCACUUGUACGGAUAUACUAUUAUCAGGAACUUCUAAAAAUAAAUAAAAGGAUAUAAAUGACCAAUAGCAUGGUCACUAAUAUAAUUCUUAGAUCAUUGAUAGUCAACUUAUAAACAUCCGAUAUAUUGAACACACCACUUACGACAAUUAGAAGAUAAGAAUAUUUAAGGUAGCACG
rnacentral:lncRNA from 1 species